ACUUACUGCUCAGGGUUUAUAGAAGGCUGUCCAGAUGAUGCUUUCAGAAGCAAUGAACAUUACAAUUAUCCUGCAUGUCAACAAAUCAACACACAAGGUCACUGCUAUCUUGCCGAUCCUUCCUGUUCAAAAUUAACAGAGAAUAUCUUUCACAAAUCAAGGGCUACUACAACUAGAAUAAACGUAGACCAUGAAGUUUACAGCAGCACGAUAAUAAAUAUUCAAACAGCCUCACUCCAGGAGUAUGAAACCGCCGAAA